UACGGAGGGUGCAAACGUUGCUCGGAAUCAUUGGGCGUAAAGCGCACGUAGGCGGCUCGUUAAGUCGGAUGUGAAAGCCCCGGGCUCAACUCGGGAAGUGCAUUCGAAACUGGCGAGCUUGAAUAUGGAAGAGGGUCGCGGAAUUCCCGGUGUAGAGGUGAAAUUCGUAGAUAUCGGGAGGAACACCAGUGGCGAAGGCGGCGACCUGGGCCAAUAUUGACGCUGAGGUGCGGAAAGCGUGGGGAGCAACAGGG
rnacentral:rRNA from 1 species